rnacentral:rRNA from 1 species
UACGGGGGGGGCAAGCGUUGUUCGGAAUUACUGGGCGUAAAGGGCGCGUAGGCGGUUGGAUAAGUCAGCUGUGAAAACCACGGGCUUAACUCGUGGCCUGCAGUUGAGACUGUCUGGCUUGAGUGUGGGAGAGGAGAGUGGAAUUCAUGGUGUAGCAGUGAAAUGCGUAGAGAUCAUGAGGAAGACCAGUGGCGAAGGCGGCGUUCUGGACUGUUACUGACACUGAGGAACGAAAGCCAGGGGAGCAAACGGG